rnacentral:misc_RNA from 1 species
UGAUGACUCUUGGUGUGUGAAGAGA